rnacentral:rRNA from 1 species
UACGUAGGGUGCGAGCAUUGUCCGGAAUUAUUGGGCGUAAAGAGCUCGUAGGCGGUGUGUCACGUCGUUCGUGAAAACCUGCAGCUUAACUGUGGGCGUGCGGUCGAUACGGGCAUCACUGGAGUUCGGCAGGGGAGACUGGAAUUCCUGGUGUAGCGGUGAAAUGCGCAGAUAUCAGGAGGAACACCGGUGGCGAAGGCGGGUCUCUGGGCCGAUACUGACGCUGAGGAGCGAAAGCGUGGGGAGCAAACAGG